rnacentral:lncRNA from 1 species
AAAUGUGUUGCUGAAUAUUUUACAAGUUCCGUACCAUCUCUGUUUGGCUCAACACUUGUCUCUGAGUCAUUUGGUGCUCUAUAAUAUCAGAGGAGACGUAUGCUUCACUACAAUGUUAUGGUGAAAAAAGCCCAGAUUCUGCACCAGGUUUUGUUUAUGUAGCAACGAUUACAACGCCCCCUAUAUUAAACACGAGGAAUAUGGUGCAAAG